CAGGCUUAACACAUGCAGGUCGAGGGGCAGCAUGGUCUUAGCUUGCUAAGACUGAUGGCGACCGGCGCACGGGUGAGUAACACGUAUCCAACCUGCCGUCUACUCUUGGACAGCCUUCUGAAAGGAAGAUUAAUACAAGAUGGCAUCAUGAGUCCGCAUGUUCACAUGAUUAAAGGUAUUCCGGUAGACGAUGGGGAUGCGUUCCAUUAGAUAGUAGGCGGGGUAACGGCCCACCUAGUCUUCGAUGGAUAGGGGUUCUGAGAGGAAGGUCCCCCACAUUGGAACUGAGACACGGUCCAAACUCCUACGGGAGGCAGCAGUGAGGAAUAUUGGUCAAUGGGCGAGAGCCUGAACCAGCCAAGUAGCGUGAAGGAUGACUGCCCUAUGGGUUGUAAACUUCUUUUAUAAAGGAAUAAAGUCGGGUAUGCAUACCCGUUUGCAUGUACUUUAUGAAUAAGGAUCGGCUAACUCCGUGCCAGCAGCCGCGGUAAUACGGAGGAUCCGAGCGUUAUCCGGAUUUAUUGGGUUUAAAGGGAGCGUAGAUGGAUGUUUAAGUCAGUUGUGAAAGUUUGCGGCUCAACCGUAAAAUUGCAGUUGAUACUGGAUAUCUUGAGUGCAGUUGAGGCAGGCGGAAUUCGUGGUGUAGCGGUGAAAUGCUUAGAUAUCACGAAGAACUCCGAUUGCGAAGGCAGCCUGCUAAGCUGCAACUGACAUUGAGGCUCGAAAGUGUGGGUAUCAAACAGGAUUAGAUACCCUGGUAGUCCACACGGUAAACGAUGAAUACUCGCUGUUUGCGAUAUACGGCAAGCGGCCAAGCGAAAGCGUUAAGUAUUCCACCUGGGGAGUACGCCGGCAACGGUGAAACUCAAAGGAAUUGACGGGGGCCCGCACAAGCGGAGGAACAUGUGGUUUAAUUCGAUGAUACGCGAGGAACCUUACCCGGGCUUAAAUUGCAGAUGAAUUACGGUGAAAGCCGUAAGCCGCAAGGCAUCUGUGAAGGUGCUGCAUGGUUGUCGUCAGCUCGCGCCGUGAGGUGUCGGCUUAAGUGCCAUAACGAGCGCAACCCUUGUUGUCAGUUACUAACAGGUUCCGCUGAGGACUCUGACAAGACUGCCAUCGUAAGAUGUGAGGAAGGUGGGGAUGACGUCAAAUCAGCACGGCCCUUACGUCCGGGGCUACACACGUGUUACAAUGGGGGGUACAGAGGGCCGCUACCACGCGAGUGGAUGCCGAUCCCCAAAACCUCUCUCAGUUCGGACUGGAGUCUGCAACCCGACUCCACGAAGCUGGAUUCGCUAGUAAUCGCGCAUCAGCCACGGCGCGGUGAAUACGUUCCCGGGCCUUGUACACACCGCCCGUCAAGCCAUGGGAGCCGGGGGUACCUGAAGUGCGUAACCGCGAGGAGCGCCCUAGGGUAAAACUGGUGACUGGGGCUAAGU
rnacentral:rRNA from 1 species